UCCACAAAAUCAUGCAAAUGAAGAGGCUC
rnacentral:piRNA from 1 species